rnacentral:rRNA from 1 species
GGUGCUAAUACCGCAUAACCAUAGUUACCGCAUGGUAACUAUGUAAAAGGUGGCUAUGCUACCGCUUUUGGAUGGGCCCGCGGCGCAUUAGCUAGUUGGUGGGGUAAAGGCUUACCAAGGCAAUGAUGCGUAGCCGAACUGAGAGGUUGAUCGGCCACAUUGGGACUGAGACACGGCCCAAACUCCUACGGGAGGCAGCAGUAGGGAAUCUUCCACAAUGGGCGAAAGCCUGAUGGAGCAACGCCGCGUGGGUGAAGAAGGUCUUCGGAUCGUAAAACCCUGUUGUUAGAGAAGAAAGUGCGUGAGAGUAACUGUUCACGUUUCGACGGUAUCUAACCAGAAAGCCACGGCUAACUACGUGCCAGCAGCCGCGGUAAUACGUAGGUGGCAAGCGUUAUCCGGAUUUAUUGGGCGUAAAGGGAACGCAGGCGGUCUUUUAAGUCUGAUGUGAAAGCCUUCGGCUUAACCGGAGUAGUGCAUUGGAAACUGGGAGACUUGAGUGCAGAAGAGGAGAGUGGAACUCCAUGUGUAGCGGUGAAAUGCGUAGAUAUAUGGAAGAACACCAGUGGCGAAAGCGGCUCUCUGGUCUGUAACUGACGCUGAGGUUCGAAAGCGUGGGUAGCAAACAGGAUUAGACACCCUGGUAGUCCACGCCGUAAACGA